UACGUAGGGUGCAAGCGUUGUCCGGAAUUAUUGGGCGUAAAGAGCUUGUAGGCGGUCUGUCGCGUCUGCUGUGAAAAUCCGGGGCUCAACCCCGGACUUGCAGUGGGUACGGGCAGACUAGAGUGUGGUAGGGGAGACUGGAAUUCCUGGUGUAGCGGUGAAAUGCGCAGAUAUCAGGAGGAACACCGGUGGCGAAGGCGGCAUCCUGGACCGGCAUUGACGCUGAGGCGCGAAAGCUAGGGGAGCAAACGGG
rnacentral:rRNA from 1 species